GCUAUAGACCAUUUUAUUCCUAAAGAAAGAACCCCAAGAGAGUUCUUUAAGCCUAUGUUCCUUUUGAGGCUCUGCAGAACAGGGGGGAAAUGGCAAAUAAAGAUUAUAAGGCUGAUUUUCAAAGUUAAUCAGCAAUGGGCACUGACAUUUAGUAAGAUGGCCAAUGGCAUCCCUAGUCAGAGAAGAUCCUGGGACGAAUGCCAAACUGCCAACACAAUGGCUGGAUAAGUCUGCCUAAAGGACACAAAGGGCACUGCUGGGAGAAAUAUUCCCUUUGACUUCAAGGCACUAUGAUGCUCUGCAUCAAUUACUAUCUAAAGAGAUGGAAGAACAGUACAAUGUGCUCAGAAUGAAAUGCUCUACAGGCAAGUUUAGAUUUUAUACUUAAAAUGGACAUUUAUGGAAUUUAAUUCAGUGCCUCUUGUCUUGAGAAAAAGUGCAAAAUGACAAGGAAAAGGAGAUGAGAACAGAGCAUAGCUGUUUCUGGUACCAUGUAGUGGGGAACCUGAACUAAAACCUCAAAUCUGAACACCUGAAGGCUGAGACUGUUUGAAUCCAGACUCAGAUUCAAACUUUGCAGCUUGGGCCAUCUCUCUAGUACAAUCAAAACUUGAUUAUUUCCAGAUAUGGGCCAAAUCCUCUGCUGAGUAAGUCAGGGUCAACUCAGUUGACUUCAAUGGAGCAAGGUCUUGUUACAUCAACUAACAUUUGCACAUGGUGUUAUUAAAAAAAUGUGGCAGGUGUCUGUCAUCCCAGCAAUACUUAGCAGGAAUGAUGGUUGUAACUGAGAGUAAAGGAAAACAUGAUUGACUUUUCCAGGUGUAUAUUCUAGUGGAUCCAGCAUCUGAGAAUGUAUUUGAUACACACAGAGCUAAGUCCAUAUGCAGGGAUAAGAGUGUAUUCAUCUGGGAGCAUAGAACUCAUAUAAGCCAAAGUAAAGGGAGUGUUUCAGUUUUCAUAUAAAAAGGAUAAUGUUGCAGUGUCAUUAAAUAAAAGUUACAUGUUAUUUGAUUUCUGAUACAAAGCAGUACACUCUCAGAUACUAUAGUGAUGGGCUGAAUUGUUCGUUAACAAUGCGGUUCAAUGCUACAUCAUGUGACUGGUUGCUUGAGUCAUAUGGUGUUUCUGCUCUGUGACUGGAUGACUGAAACUUUUUCAACAGGAAUAAGAAAUAAUGAAUAAUGAAAGCUAUGCUCUAGUUCAAAUGAGAAUUAAUGUGGGAAAAGCCCUAUGGAGGUCAGACUAAGUGAUCACAAUGCUCCCUUCUGGCCUUGGUAUCUAUGAAUCAGUUUUUGUAAUCCUUCAGUCGGCUCUAAUUUUGGGUGAUCUGUUGAGCAAGUACUGAUGGCCUGAAUUAGUACUUCCUUGAAUCUAGCUUAUGAGUGUGUUUUCAGAAAAUUCUUUUUUAUUUGUUUAUGUUUUUUCUGUAGUUUAUUUUUUGUUGUUUUCAUACCUUAUGAUUCCAUGUGAGGCAUUGGGCUCUUCUAGCACCAUUACUAUAGCCAUGUUGUAUAUGUUACAUGGAAGAGGGCACCAUGUAUGGUUUUUUUCCCAGCAAAACUUACAGCUCUAAUGGGGAAUAAUCCUAAUUAAUACUAGGGGACUCACAUAGGAAAGCAUAUCUUUUAAUUUUAACACCAUAUAUACAAAAUAUAUGUAUAUUUAUAUCCCCUAUUAGGAUAAUGAUUUAAUAUGUCAGGGAUAUAUAGGUUGUUUGUUUCUACAACAUCUAUGAUCCUAUGUUAGUCAAGGGGUGUGUGUACAUGUAUAGAUAGAUGGAUCUACAGAUAUACAAAUAUAGAUAUAUAAUGUUCUUUUAAAGGACCUAACAUGUAAAGAAGAUGAAGAAAUUGUGGUUUACUUAUCAAUUGUAUUUCUCUUCUUAAUAGUGUUUGCAAUUUGUUCAUGAAACGGCAGUUUCUCUGUAGACUUAUACAGUAGCUAAAAACUAUAUUCGUAUAUCCCAUCAUAAAGUAAUGUAUAUUUAUUUUUUAAAGUAUGUCCUUUUUAUUUUCUUUAUUACCCACCCCUUUUAGCUCUCACCUCCUCUUUGUUAAAGAGGACGAUGGGUGUUUUCGUCUGGAAUCAACCUCCCCAUCCAAACUGGGCUCAUGACCCAUCAUGCUACUGCUGGUAUAGCUACAAGUCUGACUGUGAGUCUAAGCCUGGCUUUCUCUCCCAUCUGGCAUCACAAAAUUGCUGUCAAUCAAGUGAUCACCGAUAAUUUCAGACGCAGGGUGCUUCUGCCACAUCUUUGUGUACAUGGGUAAAUGGAAGAGACCAAUUGCAUGGUUGAAAAAAACCCAGAAUUUGGUAGUUGCACAGUGCUCCAGCAGAGACAUACCAGCCUAACAAAUAAAGUGUUUGCAAUGUUCAGUGCUAAGCUACCACCAUCCUUAAGAUUUGAAGACUGGUAAACAAAACAUUGUUUGGAAAAGGCCAGUCGGGCCUCCAGCUUGGCAAAGGUAAUAAAGCAUAUGCACAACUUUAAUCAGAGAGCUCUUCUCUUUUUUUAUUUCCCCCACUUCUUCCCCCCAUUCCCUUUACUUUGCUCUGGUGGGAUGAUGCAUCCAGUUGGAGCUGAUAAACAGAAGGAACCAAGGAGGAGAAGUGCAUCUCCAUUUCUAUUAGCCGUCUGCCGCUUCGAUACAUGCUUCAAACCUUGGCUUUAAGCUGAAGUGCAAAACCUCUGGGGCUUUUGCUCCCCGCUGUCAGCAUUUGA